CGCGUAGGUGGUUCAGCAAGUUGGAGGUGAAAUCCCCGAGCUCAACCUGGGAACUGCCUCCAAAACUACUGAGCUAGAGUACGGUAGAGGGUAGUGGAAUUUCCUGUGUAGCGGUGAAAUGCGUAGAUAUAGGAAGGAACACCAGUGGCGAAGGCGACUACCUGGACUGAUACUGACACUGAGGUGCGAAAGCGUGGGGAGCAAACA
rnacentral:rRNA from 1 species